AGUUGCCGGGCGGGGGAGUGCGCGUCCGGUUUUUCUCAGGGGACGUUGAAAUUAUUUUUGUAACGGGAGUCGGGAGAGGACGGGGCGUGCCCCGACGUGCGCGCGCGUCGUCCUCCCCGGCGCUCCUCCACAGCUCGCUGGCUCCCGCCGCGGAAAGGCGUCAUGCCGCCCAAAACCCCCCGAAAAACGGCCGCCACCGCCGCCGCUGCCGCCGCGGAACCCCCGGCACCGCCGCCGCCGCCCCCUCCUGAGGAGGACCCAGAGCAGGACAGCGGCCCGGAGGACCUGCCUCUCGUCAGGCUUGAGUUUGAAGAAACAGAAGAACCUGAUUUUACUGCGUUAUGUCAGAAAUUAAAGAUACCAGAUCAUGUCAGAGAGAGAGCUUGGUUAACUUGGGAGAAAGUUUCAUCUGUGGAUGGAGUAUUGGGAGGUUAUAUUCAAAAGAAAAAGGAACUGUGGGGAAUCUGUAUCUUUAUUGCAGCAGUUGACCUAGAUGAGAUGUCGUUCACUUUUACUGAGCUACAGAAAAACAUAGAAAUCAGUGUCCAUAAAUUCUUUAACUUACUAAAAGAAAUUGAUACCAGUACCAAAGUUGAUAAUGCUAUGUCAAGACUGUUGAAGAAGUAUGAUGUAUUGUUUGCACUCUUCAGCAAAUUGGAAAGGACAUGUGAACUUAUAUAUUUGACACAACCCAGCAGUUCGAUAUCUACUGAAAUAAAUUCUGCAUUGGUGCUAAAAGUUUCUUGGAUCACAUUUUUAUUAGCUAAAGGGGAAGUAUUACAAAUGGAAGAUGAUCUGGUGAUUUCAUUUCAGUUAAUGCUAUGUGUCCUUGACUAUUUUAUUAAACUCUCACCUCCCGUGUUGCUCAAAGAACCAUAUAGUAAGUAUUUAAUUUAUGCCCCUUUUACUUUCUCAUUCAGCAGUUGCUUAUUGAAUGUCUAGUGGGUACCAAACAUGGUUCUAAGGCUGACAGGAUGAUAAAAAAUAAAUCAGACAUGGACUUUGCCCAUAAGUAGUGUAAGUUAUAGAAGGAAAGAUAAGACAUGGAAACAAAUGAUUAGAGUAUAUGGUAGAAAGUGGUUUGGGUCAAAAUACAACAAAUGGAGGUUUGGGAGACAAGAAAGUUUUUCCAGCUGUGGAAGACCAAAGAAUACCAUAUAAAAGAAGUAGUAUUUGAAAUUAACAUGGAAGAGUGGUUAGGAUUGGGGAAAGGCAUUCUCAGUAAAGUGUUGGGGGAGGGCAUUCCCAGUGAAGAAAAGCAAGAAACAAGAAAAAGAUAUGAAUGAAAUUGCAUGGGGAAGAGUGGCCUAUUCUAAGGGAACAGCUUAACUAAGUUUUUAUUACUAUUGGAUGUUGUAAUAACUAUGUAUUUUUUUGUAUAUAAGCUAUAACUCAUACUAUUUCAGUGGGUGAUGAGUGAUGAGAUGGGAAGUAUAUUUAAAUAAAAAUAACUUGCUAAUAUAAUUAGAUAGCAUUAAGGAAGUAUGAGU
rnacentral:sRNA from 1 species